ensembl:lncRNA
AUGGAGCUACUGGUCUCUGUCUCAUCCCCUGGAAGAACGGGCAUGCCAGGAUGGGCCCCGCGGUGGUGGCAGCACCCGGCAUCGUCCCGCGGUGUGCACGCACCCGCAGUGUCAAACGGGACGGGGUCGCACGGGGGGUCUUCAGGCGGCCAGGAGCAGAGGAAGACAGCGCCGGGCUCGACCACUCCGGGCUGCGAGGUGUUGGCGCGGGGAGCCCCCACCGCCACGCUCGUCCUGGGGCACACAGAGGAGCGGGUGUCAGGGCUCAGGGGCGAGCAGGGUCCAUGCCCAGCUCCAUACCCUCUCCCUACCUGUCCUUGGUCACGUAGAAAUCCAGGGAGAAGCCGAAGUAGCUGCCAGGGGGCCCCUCGUACACCGUGGGCUGGGGGUGGAGCAGCUCCGGGCCAGAGGCCCAGCACAGCCCCCAGAGCAGCAGCAGGGCCCCCAGCGGGGCAGGAGCGCAGCAGGCAGCACCCAUCGCCUCCUUGGCUCGCCCCAAAAUGUGCCUGGUGCAGCCCAGAGCUUCCCUAUCUGGAAUUCCCCAUCCCUGUUCUUAUCUGGGGGGACGCAGCAGGAAGGGCCACCCCGCAGCUGGGCAGUUGGGACGGGGCUGGCCCUCCUUUGGGACAGCGGCAUCCGCCCGUCCCCGCUAUCUCGGGGCUCAGGCGGCUGCGGAGGAAGCGCAGCGUCCACAUCCUUCGGCCCCGAGCCCCCUCGGCCCCACACUUAACGCCUCCACAGCCGGAUGGAGCAGAGAUGGAGCAGGGGACACAGAUGCCAGCAAAGCAUCUUCCCUUGCCCAGCACCCAAAAUGUCCCCAUGCCGCCCCAGGAGGGAAGCGCAGCCCGGAUUUUUCCAGGGAAAGGGCUCCCGGGGAUGGUGCCAGAGGGAGCCACGAUGGGGGCUCUGUGCAGCUCCAGCCAGCAGCUGUGGGAUUUUCACUGCUUUAACCCACCUGGUCUCCCCUGGCCCCCAACAGAGGCUGCUCCACAUGGGGGGAUGCUGCCCAGGCCGGCUGCAGUCAGCACCCAGAGCCAGGAGAAAGCCCCGCAAGAUUGCUCCAAGGCAACUGCAGUUCUCUCCCCCAAAGUGCUUAAUUUCCCCUUUCUUGCAACAUUUGGGUGCUGUCGUUCGUCCAGGCCCCCAGCUCCAGGGGCAAGCAAGGAGGGAGGGACAAGGCAAGGGCAGCUCGCAGCCCUGGUGCAACCACCAGCAACGCCGGGGGCUUGGGGCAGGGGAAAGGGGAGCACCCCUCUCUUCUCUUCAGCCGAAUCAGGACCUAGCAAGUUUCUGACACUCGGGCUUGCAAAGCCAGGGCAGAGCCACAAAAGCAGCAAGCCCCAGGGCUGGUCUUUGUGCUCUGCCACCAGCGCACCGAGUGGCGAGUACAGCACAGAGCCCCCAGCACAAAGACGGGCCCGUGGCAAGCUGCCACUCCAGCCCCAAAAGCACAAACCCCAGUCCCAUCCCUGCCCCGCUGGGAGCAGGGGGGAGGCUCACAGCAGAAGGGGAGCGUGGAGCACCUGGGGGGUUGGGGGCUCCAAUCCAAAAUAA